rnacentral:tRNA from 1 species
GGGCCUGUGUGGAAACUUGGAUAUCCGGCGAGGCUUCGGAAUUGAAGAAACCUCGAGUUGAGGGUUCGAAUCCCUCCAGGCCCA